AUUCUCCUUCUCAAGUACAUGGUUCUUUCUAUUACAGCAGUGUAGGCCCCACUCGAGAGCACAGAAUAUAACCUAGCUGUGUUGGAUUUAUUCUUUCUAUGAUAGAUUGGAAAAAAUGGCAUGCUAUUUUGCUGCUCAUCCCUUCAAAAGGUAGAGUAUGUUUCCUCAAGUCUUGGAUCUUGGAUGGUCUUUAACUUGCUUACUGAUGAAAAGUAGCAGAAGUAAUUUUCUAUGAGUUCCAGCACCUAGGCCUCAAGAAAACUUUCAUUUUCUAUUCUCACACUCUUGUAACACUGGUAUGUAAGAAGCAUGGUCUACUGCAUGAUGAGAGGUCACCCAGAGAUCUCCUCAAUCCUCCCAAAUCAUCCUCACCAGGGCCCCAGACAUGGGAUUGAGGCCACCUUAGAUCCUUCACCCCAGCUGAGCCACCUGAUCACUUCAGACACAUAAAAAUGCCAGGUAAGAUCAGGAAAACAGCCCAGCAGAGCAGCUCAAUCAUCUGACUCACAGAGUCAUUAACAAGUAAGACGUUAAGUUUCUUGAUUAGUUAGACAGUAAUAGAUAAAUGAAAAACUUCCACAGCAAGAGAAAAGUGAUGGAGGUAGAAAAUUUAGAAACUACUGGAAAUAUGGCCUGAAAGAAAAAUAGGAAAACAUAGGUUAUUUUUCCUACUCCAGCACUCAUUCAUUCUGAAGUCUUUUUAUUAAGUCAGGAAAAUCAUUCUCACUAUAGAGCUGCAAUCAUAAUGAAACUAUAAAUGGAAAAGCAAAAUAUAGCCAACUGUUGGAGUUUAUUUAUUUUAUAUCUAUAUACUUACGUAUACAUGUAAACUUAUAUAUAUACACAUCACAAACUUAAGUAUUUUCUUAAGUAAAUAGAAGUAAAACUGCUUCCUUUCCUUCCUCAAUCCUCCGAAAUAAUCUUUUAUAAUGAUAUUACAUAUGCAUAUAUAUGUAUAAAUAAUGAUAGCUCAACAUUAUUUUAUAUGCUCUGCUACUUUAUUUUUGUGUUUUUUCAUGAAGAAAGAGUGCCCCAUUAACAUGAGUAAUCAGUGUACUGCAUGGUACAGGAGCUACUAUAAAUGGCAAUAGCUUCACUGCCUAUUGUGUAUUUAAUUUCUCCAAACACACAAAAACACACUCUCUCUUUCUCUCUCAACCCUCCAUUUCAAUAGACUUGUAAGGGGUGGGUCCAGAGGGGAGAGGAAACUGCUCAGAAUAUGUUACUCCAGGGACAUGCCAACCUCUGUUUUCUCACAAUGCCCCAUCUCCUUCAUAUCCAUCUACUAAUGGCCAGAAGUUAUUCUUAAAGAUCAGAACCCUUUGCACGGAGUGAAUAUUUUUCUCCCACCUCACCUCAGCACACUCAUUGGCAUAUUGGUUCACUUCAACAACUCUCCCUUCUUUAGCUACCAGCUCCACUUGGAAGUCUUCAAAUUUCUUAUGCAGAACUUCGGUGCGCUCCCAGUCUUCACCUAGCUCCACUGAUGUCGCUAUAGCCUCCUGUAGACACAUAAGUUUAUUGAGUUGCCAGCAAACAUUUAGGAGUUUCUGUAGGUCAAAAACUCAAAACUCCUGCUUGCAUUCCCAGGAUAACUCAAAUGGAGAUACUGGGGGAGACUGGGAGAAGCUCUCCUGGGAAAGGCCAGCAGCAGAAGUAUAUUUGUUAAGGUAGCACCUUGGCACAAAGGAAAGUGCUCUUUCAGGCAGUUCUUUAUCAAGUUUGUGGCAUUACUGGCAAGAGAUCCUGAAAGUACCCUUUUGUGUUUUGAAACAUGAGGGAUAAAUUCAUCCUGUUUCUACUCAAUUCAACAUACUCAGUAUCUAUGAAAGUAUUUUGUUAGGCAUUUGCUUAUCUAAAUCUUUAGUCCUAUUAAAUUGUUCCUUAAGUAUUUAGAAAAAUAAAACCCUCCAUCUUUAUAGGCACUGAGACACAAAGGAUUAGAGAAAGAGCUGUCAAUACUCUCAGCCAGACCCCAGAGUAAGAGCAAAAACAUAGGAGAAGGAGUUAAAAAUCAUGGAAGUGGAAGAGGGAUGAGCCUAAUUAUCUUUCAAUGCAUGGUCUUUGUGUGUUUCCUGUCCAACAUCAAUUGCUUCUGAUUAUGACAACACCACAUGCUAUAAUUUUAGGUGAACAGAAAGGGAUCAUCUGCAUCUCGCUUGAAAACUUGUAAGUGAUAGGAAUCCUCAAGCUUCUGACCCCUCUCAGCGACCCGCUCCUUGAAACUUUGAUACCGAGUCAACACUUCCUGACGCCUCUCCUGGAUCUCUUCUGCUGUUUCCAAAACCUUUGGCCCACUGCUCUCCACAACCUGCAAGUUAAAAAGAUUCUGUUAAUUGCUAGUUCUCAAAUAUUUAACGUGUUGCCCCGCUUAUAUGUGUCAAGGUGUUUACUCAUGUUGGACCUAUAUUCAGAUAUCCUGAAGUCUGUAGGGACUAUUGUCAGAAGAGCUGUAGUAUAUUUACGUAAUUUUUAACCAGACAUAGCUACUGUUUAGGUUAAAGAUUCUUGAUUAUCCAGAAGAGUCUCCUCACUUUUUACAUAAAUUUGUGCUAGCAUUUAAGUUCUAUAGAUAGAAUUAUAUUGAACUGAUCAUGGAGCAAGUUUAAAUUAGCAAAAUCACAUAAUUUCAGAUAGAUAAAAAGAAAUAUAAUGUUAUUGCUUUCAAGGGCUAAAAAGGUGUUGAGAAGUGCUUAUUAUUUUUAACUUUAUUUAAUAAAUAAUUAAGAAUGGCUUGCAAUUAGUUUAGUUAAUGAUAUAUGCAACAGUUUGAAAAUUUUGUUUUCUUCAUACUUAAAAAUAAAUCUCAUAUAUUUACUCUUUACUUGCUAUACUCACAAACACUAUAAAUCAAAAGUUCAGCUAUCUUCUGCCCAAUUAUCACAAAUUUCAAAUUAUUAGCAUGUCUGCAAUUGAUUUUUGAAAUAUAAAACCUUUUACUCUAAAACAAUAUAUAAGUAUCCUUUUCCCAGAGAGGGAGCCAACCUGUUUGUGACAAUAUCCAGCAAAAUCACCGUAGGGUUCACCUUCAUUCAUUUGGAUAUGGAUACCAUUUUCCCUAGCUUACCUCAGCCAAAAUGUUUAAUAUAGAGUUUAAAUUUUAAUCUCCCAUUAUUCCUCCUAAGUAUAAUUGCUACUCUGUGAAUUGCCAUUACUGGCAUGGCUAUAGAAUUAGAUCAUUCCGUGGAGACUCACGUUGUUACUAGGUGUUAUUUUGCUUCAAGCUCCCUACUUAUUCUCUCUGGGAACCGACUUAAGCCAUUACUGGGUCUUGGUGCUGCACAGACAUAAGCUCAAGGUUAUUGUUCACAAAAAAUAGUUAAAAUUAAAAUUAUCUACUUGUUAAAAGCCAAAAUAAUUUUUAAUAUUCCUGGGAAAGAUAGUAUAGAAAGUUUAAAGGAAACAUCUUUCCUAAUAAUAUUAGUGACAAAUUGCAUGGAAGAGAAAUAUGUACUCACGGUUUCCUUUGGAAAUUGCUCCAUUUUUCCUAAAGGUUUAGAACCUGGCAAGAUAAAAUGUGUCAGAGAGAGAGAGAGAGAGAGA